UACGGGGGGGCAAGCGUUGUUCGGAAUUACUGGGCGUAAAGGGCUCGUAGGCGGCCAACUAAGUCAGACGUGAAAUCCCUCGGCUUAACCGGGGAACUGCGUCUGAUACUGGAUGGCUUGAGGUUGGGAGAGGGAUGCGGAAUUCCUGGUGUAGCGGUGGAAUGCGCAGAUAAUCAGGAGGAACACCGGUGGCGAAGGCGGGUCUCUGGGCAGUUCCUGACGCUGAGGCACGAAGGCCAGGGGAGCAAA
rnacentral:rRNA from 1 species